rnacentral:rRNA from 1 species
GUGGAGGCUCGUAGCGGUGCUGACGUGCAAAUCGCUCGUCCAACUCGGGUAUAGGGGCGAAAGACUAAUCGAACCAUCUAGUAGCUGGUUCCCUCCGAAGUUUCUCUCAGGAUAGCGGGCAGACUUAUUGUUGUUUUGUGCGGUAAAGCGAAUGAUUAGCGCAUUCGGGGGCGUUUAGCCUUUGGGCGAUUCUCAAACUUUAAAUGCGCAAGGGCGCCGCUGCUUUGUUGAGCGGUGCCGAUAAAAACGUCUGCCCUGUGGGCCACUUUUGGUAAGCAGAACUGGCGAUACGGGAUGAACCGUAAGCGUGGUUAAGGCGUCAAAUUGUCCGCUCAAAGAUCCCACAAAAGGUGUUGAUUCAUCGAGACAGCAGGACGGUGGCCAUGGAAGUCGGAAUCCGCUAAGGAGUGUGUAACAACUCACCUGCCGAAUGAAUUAGCCCUGAAAAUGGAUGACGCUUAAGCGGACAGCCGACACCACGUCGUCUGAUCAAAGUGGCUUUUAUUCAGAUGAGUAGGAGGGCGUGGCGGUUGUAUGGAAGCGUCGGUGCGAACCGGCGUGAAACGGCCGCUAGUGCAGAUCUUGGUGGUAGUAGCAAAUAUUCAAGUGAGAUCCUUGAAGGACGAAGCGGGGAAGGGUUCCACGCGAACAUUGAUUGAGCGUGGGUGAGUCGUUCCUAAGCCGAGUGGUCAUAGCUAAUUACCGGCGAAAGGGAAGCAGGUUGACAUUCCUGCACACGGAUGUGGAGUCGGUGACGCCGUAUUGAGGUGAUGACGUUGGCAGUGGCUCUGGGCAGAGUUUUCUUUUCUGUUUGACCGUCAAUGUGCGCUGUGUGGAAUCCGCUUGUCGGGAGAAACACGCGUGCACGGGCAGAGCGCCGGGGCUUUUCCGGCGUCCAGAUCGCCACUGACGACCCUUGAAAAAUCACCCGCUGAAUUAUACAAUCCACGCCGUGGCGUACCGAUUACCGCAUCAGGUCCCCAAGGUGAACAGCCUCUGUCCGAUAUGAAAAAUGCAGGUAAGGGAAGUCGGCAAAUUAGACCCGUAACUUUGGGAAAAGGGUUGGCUCUAGUGCUGCGUGGGAUUGGUUGUCAUAUUUUAGAUCCAUUUCUAGGCACUUUGUUGCGGAGAAGUUUUUUUUAAANUUUUUCUGUGGCAUUGAGCUCAGGAGGUGGGUUUUGGUACG